AUUUAUAUAGUUUAAAAGACAAAACAAUUCAUUUUCAAUGAAUAAAUGAAUUCCUUAUUCUAUAAAUA
rnacentral:tRNA from 1 species